UUUACUCCAUGAUAAGACAUGAAAAGAAGAUUGACAUGCAUCAUGUUGAAAAGAGUUGGUGGUAACAGGUGAUUUGUCACAGGCAAGACUUCAGAGAGGGAGCCUACUGUAACUCUUUGACUUGUCAUUAAAGGAAAAUUAAGUCAUUAAAGGAAAAAUCCACCAUGAACAACUUGCAUAUUGAUCUUUAUAAUUAACAGGUGGCAUCCAGGAUUCAUUUUGUAGUGAAAAUUUUGAGUUUACUUUUUAGUUUAGACUUCUUUCAUUGACCUGUUGGUCAUUUUUCACUUUGGUUUCUUGUAUUACCCACAUUCAAGUUCGACAACAUACUAAUAUUGGUGCCAGUAAAAUUUAGCUCCCGAUUGACCUAUCUGUACACUCUGUUCACAUUAAUUACAUCAUUAACAAACUUCAGUUUUCAUGCUAAUACCACCGUCAAGGCCAUUGCAUGCAUCAUCUCACAGAUCACAAUAAAACAUGAUGAAAACUGAUUAUACUGUAGCUGUGUUGUUUGUGCAAUAGUGAAAAUGAUGCCAAGUUGUAUUUCCAUUUUCCUUUUACUUUGAAAUUGCCCUUAAACUUAGUUAUCUGACUAGACAUGCUUUCAAAGAAAACAGAAACAACACCUGAGUCUAUUGAAAGCCAAGCUCAACUGAUUAAACAGGUGGAAUCAGAUGUGGUCUUGCUUGAUUGGAAUGAAAACCUACACCCACACCGGCCCUUUGCUUGGAGACUGGACAUCCCUGGUAUAGUCAGUUUAACAACCUCCAGAUGUGCUCGAUCUAAGAUGUUGAGUGAUCUUAAACAAAUGCUUGUCUAUAUACAGCAUAACUCAUUUAAAGGAUAGCCCAGAAGAAGCUCAUUAAAGCCUACAGGAAGUUGUCACAGCAGUGACACCCAGACAACUUCCAGGAUCCUGAAGAGAAGAACAAGGCUGAGAAGAAGUUCAUAGACAUCGCACAGGCCAAGGAAGUGCUCACUGAGCCAGAAACGAGGAGUUCAUUUGACAAGGGUGAAGACCCCCUGGACCCUGAGAGCAAGCACGGAGAAGGCCAUCACCACUUCCAUGGGGCCUGGGAGAGUUUCCAGGGCUUUAACCCUUUUGGCUCUGGACUGUUCAACUUUAAAUUCAACUUUAACUGAGAUCAUCCAGGACGACAUCAGUCUGAUCUGAAUAUAUACCAUCAGGCAUCCAGCGAGAAGUGUAACCUGCUGAACCUAUUUGACACUAACUGCCAUAGAUGUGGCUACAGAAGCCACUUUGGCAUGAAGAUUCAUCGCAUGCUGUUGAAUAUUCUCAGACUUGCCAAGCUGAGCUAAGUGGUAUUAUAUAAAGUAAUUAUUUCAGGGACCAUCAGAGUGUGGGGGUUCAUUCCCAAGCAACCAACUAUCCUAAAACUAUUGUGUGUGUGUGUGUGUGUGUGUAUAGGAGACUGCACUAUUUUUCUAUCAAUUAAAUAAUGCUGCAUUGUAAAUACACAAUUAAAGAUAUUACGUAUUUAAUUAAAAAGAAAGUGACAUUAUUCUCAGAUUUCGCUGUUGUAAUGCAAAUCACUAUUGGAGGAUUCCUUUAGUUGAACUUUUCAUUUUGUAUAGCACUUACAGACAUCGUCACAAAGCAUCUGGACUGACAGAUGUAGAUUUAGAUCCCUAUCGAGCAAGCUGGAGGUGAAAAACUCCCCGAGACAUCAUGAAGAAGAAACCUAAGAGAGGAAGCAAACUCAAAAGGGUCCUGUUGACACUGGAUAGUGGGAUUACAAAUCAUUACCAGUAUGCAGAUGUAAU